rnacentral:rRNA from 1 species
UUCGGCUCUGAAUAUUUAUGGCUAGAUAAGGUACAAGUCGUAACAAGGUUUCAGUUGGAGAACCAGCUGAAGGAUCAUUU